rnacentral:lncRNA from 1 species
GGCACUUCUUGCAUGGUCUAAAGGUGGUUGGGCAAACCAUUGCAGUCACCUCUGACUCCAGAGGUGGGUAUGGCCCACCAUCACUAGGGGUCUAUGAGAAAGUAUCACUUGUGGACUCAGUCAUCGCAGAGGUCAACACAGAGGAGAGCAGGGCAAAUGAGCACCACCCAUUGUUGCUCUCACGCCCCUGGGAAUGCACACAUCCUGUCACUGACACUGCCAAACGCUCUGGGUGCUGCCUACACCUUCCUGAACCUAGCUGCCACUUCCCACAGCCCUGCAACUAGGAGAAGUCUGUGCAACCUUCCCAUGGGUCCCUGCUACUGCCAAGGGCCCAGCAACCAGGCACUGGCUACUAGACCUGACUGCUGCCUCCAUCUCCCCAGAAGCACACACAGCACCCUAACCAGGGGACAACAGCCUGCUCACACUGAGGAAAGAGCCCACAAGCAUCCAAACUCCCAUGCCAAAGAUAAAUAGGAAGACCACACGAAAUACCCAGGGGCACUCGUGCAUAUAAACAGCCCUCCAAGACUGCAGUAGUUGGUUUCCCUAAACUCACAGAAUAAGAAAAAUAUAAGCAAAAUGAAGCAGCUCGGGAACCCUUCCCAGUUAAUAGAACAAAUUAACUCACCUGAAGGAGCAAACACUGAAACGGACCUCUGCAGUCUAACAGACACUGAGUUCAAAAAGGAGACAGUGAAAAUACUGAAGGAAUUAAGGGUGACUAUGAAAGAGUUAAGAGCAGACAUAGACCAUAUUGCAGAUUACUUUAGAAAGGAACUAGACGCUCUAAGGAGGAGCCAAGAAAAAUUAGAAAAUUCAUUUGCAGAGAUGCUAACUGAGUUAAAGCCACUGAAGAGCGGAAUGAAUAAUGCAGAGGAACCAACUAGUGACUUGGAAGACGGAAUAAUGGAAAUGACCCAAUCUGGACAGCAGACAGGAAACCAAAUGAAAAAACAUGAAAGCAAUAUAAGAGAUCUAUGGGAUAAUACAAAGCAGGCCAAUCUACACAUAAUAGGGAUUCCAGAAGGCGAAGAAAAAGAAAAGGGGACUGAAAAUAUAGUUGAAGAAAUUACGGCUGAAACCUCCCAAUUCUAAAGCAAACAGACAUCAGGAAGCACAGAGGGCCCCAAACAAGUGGAACCCAAACAGGCCCACACCAAGACACAGUAUAAUAAAAAUGACAAACGUUACAGACAAAGAGAGGAUUCUAAAAGCACCAAGAGAAAAAACAAGUAAUUAAUUACAAGGCAACCUACGUAAGGCCAUCAGCUCUUGUCCCUACAGAACACUACAGGUCAGAAGAGAGUGGAGAGAUCUAUUCAAAGCUCUCAAAGAGAAAAGACUGCAGCCUAGAAUAUACUCUACCCAGCAAGGAUAUCAUUUAAAAUUGUUGGAGAAAUUCUUUAUUUCUCCUUCUAACAAAAACUAAAAGAGUACAGCAAUACUAAACCCACUCUAAAAGAAAUCCUGAAAGGGCUCAUCUAAAUAAAAAAGCAGUAAGAGGAAAUAGGAUGGAGGAAAUCACAGUUGAGAAGUAAUCACUUAAAUGAGUCAGUAUACAAAUCCUAAAGGGGGGGGAGCCUAUUGUAAAAGCAACAAUAAGCAUAAGGAACAGCAAAAGGAUAAACAUGAAGAUGUUAAAAAAGGAUACUGAAAUCAUAAAAUGUGGGGAAAGAAAUUAAGAAAAUCUAGACUUUUUUUUAACAAUGUGUUUGAGCCUACCUGACUACCAGGCUAAAACAAGCAGAUAUAGGAAGGGACAAAUAUUCUUGAAAAAUAAGGCAACCACAAGUCUAAACCAAAAGAUACAUUCACAAAACAAGCAUAAAAUAAAUCAUCCAACCAAAAAAAAAAAAGAACAAAGGAGAAACAUGGAUCAAUUGGAAAAUAAGCUUUAAAAUGGCAACAAACAUAUAUUUAUCAAUAAUUAUUUUAAAUGUCAGUGGACUGAAUGCUCCAGUCAAAAGACAGAGCGGCAGAUUGGACAAAAAACAAGACCCUACAAUACACUGCCUACAGGAGAUUCACCUUAGGACAAAGGACACAUAUAAAUUCAAAGUGAGGGGAUGAAAAAAGAUGUUUCAUGUGAAUGGAAAAGACAGGAAACCAGGAGUUGUAAUACUCAUAUCACACAAAAUAGACUUUAAUACGAAGGCCAUAAAGAAAGGCAAAGAAGGACACUGUUUAGUGAAAAAAGGGUUAAUUCAAGAAGAGGAUAUUACACUCGUCAAUAUACAUGCCCCUAAUACAGGAGCACCCAAAUGUGUACUAACAAACAUAAAAGGAGAAAGCAAUGGAAUACAGUAAUAGUAGGAGACUUUAACACCCCACUCACAUCAGUGGACAGAUCCUCUAGAUAGAAAAUCAGCAAGGUGGCAGAGACCCUAAAUGACACAAUAGAAAAGUUAUACUUAAUUGACAUUUUUAAGACAUUACAGCCAAAAAAUCUGGAUAUACAUUCUUUUCAAGUGCACAUGGAACAUUCUCAAGGAUUGACCACAUACUGGGGCACAAAAAUAACCUCAAGAAAUACAAGAGUAUAGAAAUUAUUUCAAUUAUCUUCUUUGACUACAAUGACAUAGAACUAGAAACCAACCACAGGAAAUGAAAAAAAAUACUGACUACAUGGAGACUAAAUAACAUGCUACUAAAAAUCAAUGGGUCACAAGGAAAUCAAAAGGGAGAUUAAAAAGUAUGUCAAGACAAAUGACAAUGAAAACACAACCACGAAAAAUUAAUGGGAAGGCACAAAGCCAGUUUUUAGAGGGAAGUUCAUAGUAAUACAGGCCUUCCUCAAAAAAGAAGAAAAAUCUCAAAUGGACAGUGUAACCCACCACCUAAAAGAAUUAGAAAAAGAAGAACAAAUAAACCUAAAGUCAGCAGAAGGAAGGAAAUCGUAAAGAUCAGAGAGGAAAUCAAUAAAAUAAAGAUUUCAAAAAAAAACAGUAGAAAAAAAAAUAUAUAACCAAAAUCUGGUUCUUGAAAGGGUAAACAAAACUGACAAACCUCUGGCCAGACUCACCAAGAGGAGGGAAAGAACUCAAAUAAAUAAAAUAGAAAUGAAAAAGUAGAAAUCUCAAUGGAUACUGAAG